rnacentral:rRNA from 1 species
AUGCAUUGGAAGAAAUGGAAGGAUAUUGUUGCUCCCAAAUGUGUGGGUGGUAUGGGCUUUAAAGACCUUGAGUUGUUCAAUCAAGCAAUGCUUGCUAAACAGGGUUGGCGACUUCUCACACAACCGGAUUCACUCUGUGCCAGGGUGAUCAAAGGCAAGUAUUUUCAUGAUGCUGAUUUUAUGACGGUGACAAGGAAAAAGAAUGCCUCGCAUACAUGGAGGGCAAUUAUGUAUGGACGGGAAGCUCUGACUCAUGGUCUGAUCAAACGUAUUGGUGAUGGUAGCAAUACUAGAGUUUGGGAGGAUCCCUGGAUCCCUUCAAACUUGGGCUUUAAACCCCUUUUACGUCUUCAAAACUCGACCGUGAAUAUGGUCGAGGACUUGAUCGACCCGUACAAUGAAGACUGGGAUAGAGAGGUUUUACAGAAUAAUUUCCUUCCUAUUGAUGCGGCUGCUGUGCAAAUGAUUCCAUUGGGAAGGAUGGAAGAAGAUAACUGGGCAUGA